ensembl:lncRNA novel transcript, antisense to titin
AAUUGUGCCAGUCACUUCACAGCUGUCGCCUUUUCCAGCACCAUUGAUAGCACUAACUCGGAAUUUGUAUUCUUCACCUGCUUGUAGAUCAGUGACUGUAUAUCUUGUUUUCACACAUGCCUCUGCAUUCACCUUGUGCCAGUCUCCUAAGUCGGCCUUACACAUUUCAAUAAUAUACCCAAUUAUUUCCAUGCCACCAUCAAACACUGGUUUGGACCAUUCUAAGCUCACAGUUGUCUUUGAUGUGUCUGUUACUUUGACCACUGUGGGAGGACCUGGUGGGUUGACGGGCUCUCUACAUUUAAUGAGUCUUGAGAUGCCACUUGCAGGUCCAACUCCUGCAGCAUUUUCAGCCAUGACAUGGAAUUCAUACUCAUUGCCUUCUGUCAGACCAGUGACUUUGAAUCUUGUUUCAGAGAUUGGUCGUUUGCUGAUCACUUUUACCCAUCUUGUGCUUUUCUUUUCUCUUCUUUCAAGGAUAUACUGUUGAAUUUCACUGCCACCAUCUGAUUCUGGCCUUGCCCAUGUCAGGGUAAUGCUGUUGCCUGUUAUGUUGCUAGGUUCUGGAAUGCCAGGGGCAUCAGGAACAGCUGUAAAACAAAAACAAAACCCCAAAUCAAUUAGAUGCAUUUGCUUGGAAGGUUAAACUUUUGACAUAGUACCGCUUAGUAAAAACGCAAACUUACUAUAUUGUAUUUGAGCAACCACUGGAUCAGAAUCAAGUGGCCUGCCAACACCAAACUUGUUAACUGCAGAAACACGGAAUUGGUAUUCAUUGCCGUUUAUUAGUUUAAUGGCAGUGUAACUUUGGGCUUCACAUUUAUCCUCAAUUAGUGCCCAGGCAAGUCUGCUGGUUUCCCGUUUUUCAAUGAUGUAGUGGGUUAUGGGAGCACAACCGUCAUUGAGUGGGGCAUCCCACCACAGAGUCAUCUUCUCCCCAGUAAUAUUGGUGAAUCUUAUUGGCCCAACUACUUUUCCUGGUGUAUCUAUAAGAAAAAGUUUCUAGAGUUAGUUUCUUUUUCCUUGUCCAUUAAAAUACAACUAGGCAUGUCUCUAAUCCAAGUUCAUAAAUUGUAGCAUUAAGAAGCUAUUUUAAAAGUACCUUGUACUUUCACUUUAAUUUCUGCUUUUGCAGAACCAGAUGCAUUUUUGGCUUCCACUGUGUAUACACCACGAUGGUCCCGAGUAGCAUCUCUAACAAAUAGGCUGGUGGAUCCAAGUACGUCGGUUAUUUCCAUAUUCAUCCUCUUUUCGAUUUCCACUCCAUCUUUGAACCAAGUUACUCGAGGCACUGGUCUUCCUUGUACCAAAGCUUUAAUUCUAAGGCUCUCUCCGGACUUAAUAAUGAGACCAUCAAAGUAUUCAGGGCCAAACUCUACUAUUGGUGGAACUAUAAAAGAAAGAGAAAUACUAUGUAUUAGUUUGGCUUAAUAAAGACAUACAUAAAUAUAUAUUUUUCAGUAGUGCCAUAUCACAAGGCCAGGAAGAGUAGUGACUUCUACUGUGCUACCAAAGCCUAUUUUGAAAGUAGGAUUGAUAAUUGAGAAUUUGGACUAUGGGGUUAAAUAUUUGCCUAUUAUUAUUCCCUUUGUAAUGCCUGUCAUGUUUUUAAUUUUGCAUUGCUCUUUGUAAAAAGGAAAGUGAAACAUUUACAGAUCAUGUACUUCCUAAUACUGCUGCACAGUCACACAAGUUCUUUUAAGAGGCCAUCAGCUGCAUUCAAGCAAGGGGAUGAUUGUGUUGUUGGAUGUAUGUUGUAUUUUAAUAACUUCAGUAAAGAUGGACACUUAUUCUCGAG